rnacentral:rRNA from 1 species
GACGAACGCUGGCGGCGCGCCUAACACAUGCAAGUCGAACGAGCGAGAGAGAGCUUGCUUUCUCGAGCGAGUGGCGAACGGGUGAGUAACGCGUGAGGAACCUGCCUCAAAGAGGGGGACAACAGUUGGAAACGACUGCUAAUACCGCAUAAGCCCACGGGUCGGCAUCGACCAGAGGGAAAAGGAGCAAUCCGCUUUGAGAUGGCCUCGCGUCCGAUUAGCUAGUUGGUGAGGUAAUGGCCCACCAAGGCGACGAUCAGUAGCCGGCCUGAGAGGGUGAACGGCCACAUUGGGACUGAGACACGGCCCAAACUCCUACGGGAGGCAGCAGUGGGGAAUAUUGCACAAUGGGGGAAACCCUGAUGCAGCGACGCCGCGUGAGUGAUGAAGUAUUUCGGUAUGUAAAACUCUAUCAGCAGGGAAGAUAAUGACGGUACCUGACUAAGAAGCACCGGCUAAAUACGUG